rnacentral:lncRNA from 10 species
UUCGCCCCGCGACCCACGCCCCCUCCGCGAGCUUACCGUGAGGCACCUCCUCCAUUCCGUCGCCUUUGCCGCCUUCGUGGUCACCGGAACCCGCUGUCGUACAUUUCCGCCUUGUGGGCACAAUCUGAUUCUCCGACCGCGCGAAAUAAGUCUCGGAAAGGGGGCUGUGCGCACGCGCGAACCUUGGGCCGAAAGACUGGGACUCAACGUCUGUUCCUUUUCAGAGAUUUCCUAUCAUAAAUACUUCUGCAGUGCAUCUCCUAAGAACAAAGCCAUUCUUCAUGACAUCAGUGCCAUUUUCAUACCCAAGAGAUUUAAUAUCGAUGCAGUACUAGCCAAUGCAGUAUUAGCCAAUAGACAGUUUAUAUUUCAAUUUCAGUUGUUAGACCCCCUCCCCUGCUGGAUUCACUCACUGCCUGGAGUUAUUUCUCUUCGGUCUCCUUUAAUUCAGAUCAGUCCUUCUUUUUUUAGGGGGGGUCUCAUCACCUUGAUAAUUUUGACGGGUCCAGACCAGUUGUGUAAUAGAAUAUCCCAUAUUCUUGAUUUGUCUAAUCCUCCCCUCCCUCUUGCCUUGUAAUUAGAUAAAGGUUAAUUUUUCUUUUUUCCUGCAGAACACACUUGGAUAAUGUCAGUUUGUCCCGUUUUUGGUAAUGUGAAGCUUGAUCGCUUGCUAAAGGUGGUGUCUGCCCCAUUUCUCCAUUUAAUGUUUCCUUCUUCCAUUUGUAAUUAACAGGUACUCUCUGGGACCAUCUUCUUCUCUAUCAGCCUUUCACUCAGUGAUUUUAGCAGCAUUUAUAUAUAUAUAUAUAAAACUAUAGAUUAUAUAUAUGAUAAAUAUAUAUCAGUUUUAUACCCUCUCUUUUUUUCUUUUUUUUCGAAGACUCACUAUGGAUUCCUGGAUUUUUUAAAAUUGUCUUUUAUAAUCAAUUAUUAUUCUUUCUGGUCGAUUUUUUUUCCCCCAGAUGUGGCCAGUGAAGCCCCUUCAAGACAGUUCUUAUGUUCUUUGGGCACUAAUCCAGCUUCUUUGAGCAUUUUCUUGCUUUCUGAUACAAGAUGUUUCAGUCAUCCCUUCUCCCUGCUGCAGUCAUUUCUUCAGGGAGCCUUGGUUACUUUUUAGCAGACAACAGUUCAGAAACCAAGAUGUGGAUGCCACAAAUGCUCAUUGCUACUGGAGUGUCAUUGCUCACAGGUUUGGCACCUGGAAUAUUAAUGAGUGAACAAACUUUACCUAGCCCCAGACACUAAGAAUAUGGAAACGUUUAUUUAUUUAUUUAUUUUUGAGGCGGAUUCUCGCUCUGUCACCCAGGCUGGAGUGCAGUGGUGGGAUCUCGGCUCACUGCAAGCUCCGCCUUCUGGGUUCACGUCAUUCUCCUGCCUCAGCCACCCGAGUAGCUGAGACUACAGGCCACCACGCCCGGCUAAUUUUUUGUAUUUUUAGUAGAGACAGGGUUUCACCAUGUUAGCCAGAAUGGUCUCGAUCUCCUGACCUCGUGAUCUGCCCGCCUUGGCCUCCCAAAGUGUUGGGAUUACAGGCAUGAGCCACCGCACCCGGCCUCGGAAACAUUUAUUAAACAGCAGUGUAUCAGCUGCCUGUCACUACCACUAAUUAUAGCCAGCAUUUUGUAGAAUACUUACCGUUUGGCAGCUGUCAUCUUUGUGCUUUCAUGUGAAUUACCUAAUUUAUGUCCUUUCAUAGUCCUACUGUCUCCAUUUUUGGAUAAGGAAACUGAGGCUUAAAGUAAACUACUUUCCCGAGGUCGCAUGACUGGUAGCAGGGGAACCAGGGUGAUAAACUUGGUCUGUCUGGCUGCAGAGCCUGCACUUAGUAACACAUGGUCCCAGCCAGCACUGGGCUAGAUGCCAAUGAUUCCAGACUAACCUGGACCCUGCCAUCUGGAGCACAGUCUGGUCGGGAGAAGAGGACCAGAGUGAUGGGGCAUCAGCAAAGGCCUGGAGAGCAGAGAGGAAGUCACCUAUCAGGUAGGGACUGUUGUCAUUUCCGUUUUACAGGUGAUAAGAUGGCUGCAAAGAUUUACUUGUCCACAGUCUGAGAGGCAGAAAGAGCAGAACUGGGUUUUUAACCAAGUCUGAUACAGGGCCUUUGCUAUUAAUCACUAUACUGUAUAUUAGAGGGCAGGAUGCAAGUUAUUCUCCUUUUUAUUUUUAUUUUUGUGGGAUGGAAUCUCACUCUGUUGCUCAUGCUGGAGUGCAGUGGUGUGAUCUUGGCUUACUGCAACCUCCACCUCCCGGGUUCAAGCAAUUCUCCUGUGUCAGCCUCCUGAGUAGCUGGGACUACAGGUGCCCACCACCACGCCUGGCUAAUUUUUUGUAUUUUUGGUAGAGACGGGGUUUUACCAUGUAGGCCUGGCUGGUCUCGAACUCCUGACCUCAGGUGAUCCACCCGCCUCAGCCUACCAAAGUGCUAGGAUUACAGGUGUGAGCCACCGCGCCUGGCCAGGGCCGCUUCUUAAGCUCCCACACCUCUUGCUCCGUGAGUUCGGAUCUGUGGAUCCUACCUUGUGCCUAUUGGAUUUUAUUGCAUGGACAUCCCACAAGCGUAACAAAUAAACGUCUACAACUUCUUCUCAAG